GAGUUUGAUCUUGGCUCAGGAUGAACGCUGGCGGCGUGCUUAACACAUGCAAGUCGAACGGUGAAAGAGGAGCUUGCUCCUCUGGAUCAGUGGCGAACGGGUGAGUAACACGUGAGUAACCUGCCCUUGACUCUGGGAUAAGCGUUGGAAACGACGUCUAAUACCGGAUACGAGCUUCGGAGGCAUCUCCAGGAGCUGGAAAGAACUUCGGUCAAGGAUGGACUCGCGGCCUAUCAGCUAGUUGGUGAGGUAACGGCCCACCAAGGCGACGACGGGUAACCGGCCUGAGAGGGUGACCGGCCACACUGGGACUGAGACACGGCCCAGACUCCUACGGGAGGCAGCAGUGGGGAAUAUUGCACAAUGGGCGCAAGCCUGAUGCAGCAACGCCGCGUGAGGGACGACGGCCUCGGUUGUAACGU
rnacentral:rRNA from 1 species